rnacentral:rRNA from 1 species
UGGGGAAUAUUGGACAAUGGGCGCAAGCCUGAUCCAGCGACGCCGCGUGUGUGAAGAAGGCCUGCGGGUUGUAAAGCACUUUCGAUGGGAACGCGUUACUCAAUGAAGAAGACCGGCUAACUUGUGCCAGCAGCCGCGGUAAUACAGAGGGUGCGAGGUUAAUCGGAAUUACUGGGCGUAAAGCGCACGUAGGUGGCGACGUAAGUCGGGUGUGAAAGCCCGGCUCAACCUGGGAAUUGCAUUGAGACUGCAUUGCUGGAUCGGAAGAGGAGGGCGGAAUUCCGGUGUAGCGGUGAAAUGCGUAGAUAUCGGGAGGAACAUCAGUGGCGAAGGCGGCCUCUGGUCCAGUACUGACACUCAGUGCGAAAGCGUGGGAGCAAACAGGAUUAGAUACCCCUGUAGU